CAGUCCCGCGGGAAUACGAAGGGUGCAAGCGUUACUCGGAAUUACUGGGCGUAAAGCGUGCGUAGGUGGUGGUUUAAGUCCGUUGUGAAAGCCCUGGGCUCAACCUGGGAAUUGCAGUGGAUACUGGGUCACUAGAGUGUGGUAGAGGAUAGUGGAAUUUCCGGUGUAGCAGUGAAAUGCGUAGAGAUCGGAAGGAACAUCUGUGGCGAAGGCGACUAUCUGGGCCAACACUGACACUGAGGCACGAAAGCGUGGGGAGCAAACAGGAUUAGAGACCCCCGUAGUCCCUGUCUCUUAUACA
rnacentral:rRNA from 1 species